rnacentral:rRNA from 1 species
UACGUAGGGCGCGAGCGUUGUCCGGAUUUAUUGGGCGUAAAGAGCUCGUAGGCGGCUUGUCGCGUCGACUGUGAAAACUCGGGGCUCAACUCCGAGCUUGCAGUCGAUACGGGCAGGCUAGAGUUCGGUAGGGGAGACUGGAAUUCCUGGUGUAGCGGUGAAAUGCGCAGAUAUCAGGAGGAACACCGGUGGCGAAGGCGGGUCUCUGGGCCGAUACUGACGCUGAGGAGCGAAAGCGUGGGGAGCGAACAGG